AGCAAGUUUUAAUAACCAUAACAUCUCAAUCUGGGUUGAUUUGAACUUCAAGAAUCAUCAAAUUCCAAAAAGAGCAUGUUGAGUUGCCAAAAAUUCUGCAGAAUUGAAUUCUGGUAUGGCGCUCAAGCGCCCUCCACCUAGGGGCGCCCGGGCGCGCGACGUGCAGGCACAACUGCCAAAAUUCUGCAGAACCAGGUUCUGAUAUGGCGCUCAAGCGCCCUUCUCCCAGGGGCGCCCGGGCACGCGACCUACUGUUUGGGCCUGGUUGCAUUGUACUUAUCCCAACCCACUUCUGAAAACCCUAAGCACUCUCAUUCCACAUCAAAAACCCCAUUCACGCCUCUACUUCCUUUGCAAACCGCUCCUAACUCUCCUCUCCUCAUCUUUCAUUCUCUAAACACCAAACCUUCAUCAACCCUAGCCUUAUCCUCACCAUCUCAGACUCCCUCAACUCACGCCCUUCUUCAAUUACAAGCCACCCAAAACCUAAUUCUUCAACCUACACACAAUUUCCCCAAAUCAAUAACACUUUCACUCAACCCCAUUGAUUAUCUCGUCACCCCCCACUCAAAGGGUUUGAGUUGCAGUUGCUGCAACAUACCAAGGACUGCCCCAUUUUCGCCCUAAUUUUCACAUCCGAAGUGCUUUGCCCCCUCUUCCCACUCAAGUAGGUUUUCGUUUUCUUUUGCACCGCUAGGGUUUUCGACUGUGCUAGUUUCAACUUCGUGUCAUGUGUGUUGCUGUUCACUGUUUUACUCUUUUCUGGCUGAUUUCAAUUGAAUCUUGUUUCCACUGCAUUUUGAUAUGUUGCACUUUUGAUCCUUCUUUGCUGUUAGAAGUAACAUUUAUUGGGUUCAAUUUUGCUCUUUUGGAAUUAUACUUUGCUUUCACUGGUUCUGUAGUGGGCUAACAGGGAGAU
rnacentral:lncRNA from 1 species